rnacentral:rRNA from 1 species
AGUGAACGCUGGCGGUGGGCCUAACACAUGCAAGUCGAACGGCAGCACAGUAAGAGCUUGCUCUUACGGGUGGCGAGUGGCGGACGGGUGAGGAAUACAUCGGAAUCUACUUUUUCGUGGGGGAUAACGUAGGGAAACUUACGCUAAUACCGCAUACGACCUACGGGUGAAAUCAUGGGAUCUUCGGCCCUUGCGCGAUUGAAUGAGCCGAUGUCGGAUUAGCUAGUUGGCGGGGUAAAGGCCCACCAAGGCGACGAUCCGUAGCUGGUCUGAGAGGAUGAUCAGCCACACUGGAACUGAGACACGGUCCAGACUCCUACGGGAGGCAGCAGUGGGGAAUAUUGACAAUGGGCGCAAGCCUGAUCCAGCCAUACCGCGUGGGUGAAGAAGGCCUUCGGGUUGUAAAGCCCUUUUGUUGGGAAAGAAAAGCAGCAGGUUAAUACCCCGCUGUUCUGACGGUACCCAAAGAAUAAGCACCGGCUAACUUCGUG